rnacentral:lncRNA from 1 species
UUUGUUUUGGGUAUUAUUUUCUAAACCCAAUUUGUAAGUUAAAAUGUGCUAAAUCCAAUGUGUUGCCAAACUUUAAGCUCAAAAUAUUUAAAAAAGGCCUAUAAAAACUCUAAACCCUAACCUAUUAUUUCUCCCCCAUAUAAGAUUCCGGAACCAAACCUCCUCCUGAAGUACCUACAUCCAUCUCCAUAGCACUGUCUACUUCUACCCCAGCUUUCUUUUCCAAAUCUACUCUCAUAUAACAUGUAAUAGAAUCCAUAAACAUUUAUUUCGGGUAGAUUACUUGGGUAAUUUGUGAUGGAAAAGAAUCCAACACA